AACAAGGUGAUGGGGGCCCGCGGCUUAGGUCGUGUGACAAGGAGGCUUGACUCGUGGGUCUAUGGUGUGGCUCGCUCGUGGGUGCGAUGGUGCUUGCAGCGAUGGGUCUACGGUGUGGCUCGACUCGUGGGUCUACGGCGUGGCUUGAUUCGUGGGUCUACGACGGUCUUGUACCAGAUUGAUGAUGAUGAGAAAAUCACCAUGAUUGAUUUUCCUCAAAUGGUUUCGGUAUCUCAUCGUAAUGCGCAGAUGUAAGGAACUCUUAUUAAAGACUUGAAAACUUGUCAGAAUAUUUUUUAUCCAUUUGUCCUUGUAAUUGUGUAUUAUUUAAUUAUCGUACUUGAUAGUUAUUGUAUAUUUCAUUCUCAUAUAUCCUCAUCCUCAUGUACUUUGACCGCGAUGUUGAAUGUGUCUUUAAGUUCUGUAGAAAGAGUAAACAGGAAUUUACUCUCCAAGAUAAAGAAUCCACAAAAUGAUACCAUUGAAGUUGGGCCUAGAGAUUUAAAGCUGACCUUUUCGUCUACCUCAGGACAACUAAAACAGAUGUACAAUUCUAAAACUGAGGUAAGUUGUUUAAUUUCAUAAAGUAACCAUGGAAAUAUUUCUUAACCCAGUAGUUACAUAUUAUAAAAUCAGGCAAGCCAACCACAAAUGGGCACUAAAAAUGGAAUGCUAACUUAAGUUUAUACCUCAGGACUUCUGAUCUGUUAUCUAAUUUCAUGCAUUUUACAGGUUGAAGAUUGCAUUCCCCAGUUUUAACCUGUUCUUGAAUUUUGGUUUUAGUCUCUCUAGCUCUUAAUUUCCAUCUCUCAGAACUAUAGUACUAAAUUUCUAAUUCAGAUUAUUUAGGAACCAGUUGAAAUGAUAGUAGAAUUCUUCUAUGGUGUAUAUUUCUAAUAUAACACAUAAAGGAAUAUAUAGAUUGCCAUGUUCUGGUUAUCCAAUUUAUUAGAAUUGUUUUGCUCUUUCCUCCUUUCAAGACAAUUUUCAAUAAGUUAAUGGCCUUUAUUAUAAUUAUUUAGUUAAUAUAUUUAUAUAUUUUAUAUAUGUUGAUCUAUAUUCAUGUGGAUAAGCAAACCAUGCUUGUUUGUGUCUCUCCUUGUUUGUUCAAUAAUGGCUGCUGUCUCUCUUUGAUGAAUGUGGUGCUAUUUGGAGAGACCAGUGAUAAGGAACACAUCUUGCUAUACCCUACUGUUUCGUCAAGUUUUGGAGUUAUUACAAAUUUAAUUUAAACUUUAUAUGCUUACAGGUGGAAACUAGCUUAAGUCUUAUGUUCUUAAUAAUAAAAGAACUUUUUUUUUACAAUGUGCAAGUAUAUUGAGAUGAUUUCUUUGGAGCAAUUCUUGACAACAUUUGUAGUUGAGGCCUUUAGAAUGGAAGAAUGUAUUUCACUAA